CCACCGCGGGGCACCUGGGGCCGACGCCCGGGAGCUCACCUGCAGCGGCCGAGGGCCCGGCCGCGGCCAGGACCAGGAGCGCAAGGAACAGCCGCAUCGCGACCGAGCAGAGACGCCGCCGAGCCGGGGGUCGCGUACCCAGGAGGCCGCUGAGGAUGCCGCGAUCAUGCGGGCCCGGGUUUUAUAGCGGAGCCGCGACGGGAGGACUGAGGAAGCCUAUUCCUGGGAAUUGAGGCUACCCCAGAGAGUCCCUGUGAGCCCAGGCUAGCUCCCUGCACUCCUGACAGUGACUGAUGAUCUGGCAGGGCCUGCUGUGCUCGUUGGGUAUGUGGCCAAAGCUUGGAGGCACCGACUUCCCACCUGAUCUUCCCUUGCGCCUCAAGUUUGGCAUCCUCCAUUGGCCUGCAUGGCUGGGCUUCAUCUUCUUAGCCAGGAAACUGGACGUUGCUGAAGUACAGCCCCUCAGCUGGGACCAGAGGAGGAGGAUCAGAAACAGGAGAGGCCAUAGGUGGGUACCUUCUCAUCAAGGGUUGGAGCCCAGCCUGGGAGCCUCUUUACUGCUGAAUAUAAUCAUGAUCACAGGAUAAUAGUAGCUCCCAAUUAUUGCCCAUUUACUAUAUGUCUCUGCCAGGCAUGAUGCAAUUAAGUUGUAUGCAUCAUUUCAUUGAUCCUUUCAACAAUCUGUGAGGUAUGUGCUGUGACGGUUUCCAUUGCACACAUGGCGCUGGGAGAAGUUAAAUCACCUGGACCACAUGGUCUGAAAGAAAAGCUAGGAUACGAAUACAGGCCGUCAGAUGACUCUCUGAUGCUUUUCUGGCCUUGUAGCUGUUUUUCUUGGGCAUAGCCUCAAUGCCCAAUGGAGCAUGGCUCCUCUGGUGACCUCAGGACAAACCUCUGCAAAAGAACCCCAGCAGGGUGGCAGGCCCGGGGAGGCAGGCCAUGUGUAGGGGGUGGUUGGGUGAGUUCUGGCUGAAUCAGAGUGCUAAGAGGGGCUCCUCCAAACUUCCAAGGUCCUCUCAGGGUUCGACAGCCAGGAAAAGGUGGCUUCCUCAGGGAGGGAGCUGCCACUAGAGCCUGUCUACAUUGACUCCUUUCAGAUCUGUGGGUGGGAGAGAGAGCCAGUGGCUGAUCUGGGAGGCCAAGGGGAGCCCAGGACCAUGCAGGCCUGGGGUGGGUGAGGUGUGGGGAGAGGCAGCAUCACAGGCCUGCAGGUCUGUGGAGCAACCAGGGCAGACACUGCAGAGAAAGGAGAAACAGCGCUGGGAUCUGUUUCCAACCUCCUUCCUGAUGAGAACAGCUUAAUGAGAGUACAGCUCCCACCCUGGGGAGCUCAGAGUCUAACAGAGGAGACACAGCUCUUAACUGGGGUGCAAGGACCAUGCCUAUUUCUCACAGGGGACCCGGCAUCAGCGUGGUGCCAGACACACAGC